AUAAGCGCACACGGUGGAUGCCUAGGCGGUCAGAGGCGAUGAAGGACGUGGUAGCCUGCGAAAAGUGUCGGGGAGCUGGCAACAAGCUUUGAUCCGGCAAUGUCCGAAUGGGGAAACCCACUGCUUCGGCAGUAUCCUGCAGUGAAUUCAUAGCUGCUGGAAGCGAACCCGGUGAACUGAAAUAUCUAAGUAACCGGAGGAAAAGAAAUCAACCGAGAUUCCCUAAGUAGUGACGAGCGAACGGGGAGCAGCCCUUAAGCUGGAAUGGCUUUAGAAAAACAAUCUGGAAAGAUUGGCCAUAGAAGGUGAUAGCCCUGUAUUUAAAAGGGCCACUCCAGUGAAGACGAGUAGGGCGGGGCACGUGAAACCCUGUCUGAAUAUGGGGGGACCAUCCUCCAAGGCUAAAUACUCCUGACCGACCGAUAGUGAACCAGUACCGUGAGGGAAAGGCGAAAAGAACCCCGGAGAGGGGAGUGAAAUAGAUCCUGAAACCGUGUGCGUACAAGCAGUAGGAGCUCGCAAGAGUGACUGCGUACCUUUUGUAUAAUGGGUCAGCGACUUACUGUUCGUGGCAAGCUUAACCGUAUAGGGGAGGCGAAGGGAAACCGAGUCUGAUAAGGGCGCAUAGUCGCGGGCAGUAGACCCGAAACCGGGUGAUCUAGUCAUGGCCAGGGUGAAGGUGCCGUAACAGGUACUGGAGGCCCGAACCCACGUCUGUUGCAAAAGACGGGGAUGAGCUGUGAUUAGGAGUGAAAAGCUAAUCGAACCCGGAGAUAGCUGGUUCUCCUCGAAAGCUAUUUAGGUAGCGCCUCGGACGAAUACUACUGGGGGUAGAGCACUGUUAUGGCUAGGGGGUCAUCGCGACUUACCAAACCAUUGCAAACUCCGAAUACCAGUACGUACUAUCCGGGAGACACACGGCGGGUGCUAACGUCCGUCGUGAAAAGGGAAACAACCCAGACCCACAGCUAAGGUCCCAAAUUCACUGCUAAGUGGAAAACGAUGUGGAAAGGCAUAGACAGCCAGGAGGUUGGCUUAGAAGCAGCCACCCUUUAAAGAAAGCGUAAUAGCUCACUGGUCGAGUCGGUCUGCGCGGAAGAUUUAACGGGGCUAAGCAGUGAACCGAAGCUUGGGGUGCAUAAAACUUGUUUUAUGCGCGGUAGAGGAGCGUUCCGUAAGCCUGCGAAGGUGGAUUGAGAAGUCUGCUGGAGGUAUCGGAAGUGCGAAUGCUGACAUGAGUAACGAUAAUGCGGGUGAAAAGCCCGCACGCCGAAAGCCCAAGGUUUCCUUGCGCAACGUUAAUCGACGCAGGGUUAGUCGGUCCCUAAGGCGAGGGCGAAAGCCGUAGUCGAUGGGAAGCAGGUUAAUAUUCCUGCACCUCGCGUGAGUGCGAUGGAGGGACGGAGAAGGUUAGGUGUACCGGGCGUUGGUUGUCCCGGGGAAAGGCGGUAGGUUUGGAUCUUUGGCAAAUCCGGGAUCCUUUAAGACCGAGCACCGAGACGAGCCUUUAUGGCGAAGUCACUGAUACCACGCUUCCAGGAAAAGCUCCUAAGCUUCAGCUCACGAAGACCGUACCGUAAACCGACACAGGUGGGUAGGAUGAGAAUUCUCAGGCGCUUGAGAGAACUCGGGUGAAGGAACUAGGCAACAUGGCACCGUAACUUCGGGAGAAGGUGCACCCUUUUUGGUGGCUCAUGCGAGCUAUAGCUGAAGAGGGUCGCAGAAACCAGGCCGCUGCGACUGUUUAUCAAAAACACAGCACUCUGCAAACACGAAAGUGGACGUAUAGGGUGUGACGCCUGCCCGGUGCUGGAAGGUUAAUUGAUGGGGUCAGCCGCAAGGCGAAGCUCUUGAUCGAAGCCCCAGUAAACGGCGGCCGUAACUAUAACGGUCCUAAGGUAGCGAAAUUCCUUGUCGGGUAAGUUCCGACCUGCACGAAUGGCGUAACGACAGCGGCGCUGUCUCCACCCGAGACUCAGUGAAAUUGAAAUCGCUGUGAAGAUGCAGCGUUCCCGUGGCAAGACGGAAAGACCCCGUGAACCUUUACUAUAGCUUUACACUGAACGUUGAGUUCGUCUGUGUAGGAUAGGUGGGAGGCUAUGAAACUGUGGCGCUAGCUGCAGUGGAGCCAUCCUUGAAAUACCACCCUGUCGUGCUUGACGUUCUAACCUAGAUCCGUUAUCCGGAUCAGGGACCGUGUAUGGUGGGUAGUUUGACUGGGGCGGUCUCCUCCUAAAGAGUAACGGAGGAGCACGAAGGUACGCUCAGCGCGGUCGGACAUCGCGCACUGUGUGCAAAGGCAUAAGCGUGCUUGACUGCAAGAUCGACGGAUCAAGCAGGUACGAAAGUAGGUCUUAGUGAUCCGGUGGUUCUGUAUGGAAGGGCCAUCGCUCAACGGAUAAAAGGUACUCCGGGGAUAACAGGCUGAUACCGCCCAAGAGUUCAUAUCGACGGCGGUGUUUGGCACCUCGAUGUCGGCUCAUCACAUCCUGGGGCUGUAGUCGGUCCCAAGGGUAUGGCUGUUCGCCAUUUAAAGUGGUACGCGAGCUGGGUUCAGAACGUCGUGAGACAGUUCGGUCCCUAUCUGCCAUGGGCGUUGGAAGUUUGAGAGGGGCUGCUCCUAGUACGAGAGGACCGGAGUGGACGAACCUCUGGUGUUCCGGUUGUCACGCCAGUGGCAUUGCCGGGUAGCUAUGUUCGGAAGCGAUAACCGCUGAAAGCAUCUAAGCGGGAAGCGCGCCUCAAGAUGAGACUUCCCGGGGCACAAGCCCCCUAAAGGAACCAUAUAGACUAUGUGGUUGAUAGGUCAGGUGUGUAAGUACAGCAAUGUAUUGAGCUAACUGAUACUAAUGAUCCGUGCGGCUUGACC
rnacentral:rRNA from 1 species